rnacentral:rRNA from 1 species
GAGUAACGCGUGAGUAACCUGCCUUCAAGAGGGGGAUAACAUUCUGAAAAGAAUGCUAAUACCGCAUGACAUAUCGGAACCACAUGGUUUUGAUAUCAAAGAUUUUAUCGCUUGAAGAUGGACUCGCGUCCGAUUAGUUAGUUGGUGAGGUAACGGCUCACCAAGACCGCGAUCGGUAGCCGGACUGAGAGGUUGAACGGCCACAUUGGGACUGAGACACGGCCCAGACUCCUACGGGAGGCAGCAUG